rnacentral:rRNA from 1 species
UACGUAGGGACCAAGCGUUGUUCGGAUUUACUGGGCGUAAAGGGCGCGUAGGCGGCGUGGUAAGUCACUUGUGAAAUCUCCGAGCUUAACUCGGAACGGUCAAGUGAUACUGUCGGACUAGAGUACAGAAGGGGCAACUGGAAUUCUCGGUGUAGCGGUGAAAUGCGUAGAUAUCGAGAGGAACACCUGCGGCGAAGGCGGGUUGCUGGGCUGAUACUGACGCUGAGGCGCGAAAGCCAGGGGAGCGAACGGGA